GUGGGGAAUAUUGGACAAUGGGCGAAAGCCUGAUCCUGCCAUGCCGCGUGUGUGAAGAAGGUCUUCGGAUUGUAAAGCACUUUAAGUUGGGAGGAAGGGCAGUAAGUUAAUACCUUGCUGUUUUGACGUUACCGACAGAAUAAGCACCGGCUAACUUCGUGCCAGCAGCCGCGGUAAUACGAUGGGUGCAAGCGUUAAUCGGAAUUACUGGGCGUAAAGCGCGCGUAGGUGGUUUUGUAAGUUGGAGGUGAAAUCCCCGGGCUCAACCUGGGAACUGCCUCCAAAACUGCAUGACUAGAGUACGGUAGAGGGUAGUGGAAUUUCCUGUGUAGCGGUGAAAUGCGUAGAUAUAGGAAGGAACACCAGUGGCGAAGGCGACUACCUGGACUGAUACUGACACUGAGGUGCGAAAGCGUGGGGAGCAAACAGGAUUAGAAACCCUUGUAGUCC
rnacentral:rRNA from 1 species